CCAGUGGCUAACACGUAAUUACAGUCUCAAGCUUGCUUUGAGAAAAGUGCUGGGCUUUCUUUGUGUCUGGUCUUCUCAACAGCUGUGUCAUCAGGCUGGCUGCCUACUCACCGUUUCAAACACUUCAAGAAAAUAAAAUGGAUAUCUAGUAAAAGAAAAGAAACAUGUUUCCAUGCCCUUGGAAGGAGGAGGAAUGGUCUCAAUUUUGCUCUUCAAGAAGAACAUACUUACGAAGCCAACACAGAUGUGGGACCCACUCACGCCAGUUCUGUUGUGCAUGUCCCUCUAGCUGGUGCAAGUUUAGUGUACAUGAAGUAUAUGUCCUGGGAAUACGCUGGGACCCUUACUCUUCAAUGAGUGUUUUCACCAACACUGACCAGGUGCUGAUGGGAGAUAGUUUACCUUCAAAUUUUUUCAAGUUUUUUUACUUUACAACAAAUAAAAAGGAAGAAUCUCUUUCUGCCCCUCAUGCUAAAGAGAUUACUCUGCAAAAACAGAUCCCUGUUGUUUUCUAAGGAGAGACCGAAAGGAUGUGGAUUCUGACAGGAGAGAAAAGAGAAGAGAAAUGAGAAAAGGGGACAGGGAACAGGAGGAAGAAGAGGUGUUUCAUAAGAAGGAAGAAAGCCGCAGGUGGGAAGAACAAAGUCCCAUAUGGAGUUUUCCUACAGACAAUGAAGCCGGAUUGAGAGAAGACAGUGGUUUCUACCAUGAAGAACAAAUGUGUGUGGGUUUGCAAAAGUAAAUACGAUCAGGUUUUGACACAUGACCUUGUCUUCUCAUAACAGUUGAAAAAAGAUUCGGGGAUUUUCUUACCCUUUAAAAAUAUUUACAAAUGCCAGUGGCUCAUGGAAGAGCAGUUACUAAAUUGAUUUUGUAAACAUGAAACAAAGAAUAAAGCUUCCAUCC
rnacentral:lncRNA from 1 species